CGCCGCCUGGGGGGCUGGUGUGAGACCCGAGGCUCCGAUGGGAGGAGGUCUGGUCUGUCCACGGGGCCAGCAAAACACCUUCAUCCCAAUUUCAUCGCAUUCCUUCUAAGUAUCCGAAUUUGAAGAAAAAGCAAAACUGUUGAGUGGUCAGAUGGCCCCCACCUGGCGUUGCCGAAUGGCUGUUGGUAUCCUCCCGGUCUUCCUCCAUGGCCGAAAAGGAAAAUAUGCUCCCAUGGAAACCAGGAUAACAGAUGACCAGAUGGCUUACAUUCUCA
rnacentral:lncRNA from 1 species